CUCUCUUCUCACCAAAAAAUAAAAAAACAUAUCGCAAAAAGAAGCCUCUGCCGUUCCUUUCUCUUCUCUAUUUCUCUAUCGUCUCCUUCCCCAAAACCCAACACUGAAAAUCAAUCCUGCCAAGAAGUCAUCCCCACAUGGUUAGGUCUGAGAUAGAAAGAAGGCAUCACCAACCAUAUGGUUUGGUCCUUCGGAGAGUUUUUCCAGAAGCGAAGGUGACGAUGGGACCGCAACAGAGCUUGAAGAGAAAAUCAAAUCAGGCACCGCCACUGCUGGUGUUUGAUGAAAUUUCCUAUGAGUUCUAGAAGCCAUAAUACAUGGAGAGUUGUAAGGAGGAAGAUAGGUAAGAAAUGUGAUGCUCUAUUGUUGAUUUAAUCAAGGUAAGCUAUGUUUGAUUCUUAUGACUAUUUAUCAAUUAAAAAUGUAUUGUAUAUAAAUGUUUUUUUUUUCUUCUAAACUUUGUCUCAUUAUUUUUAUUUUCUUUUCUCUCCUGUUUUAUCCUAUACAAUUGUUCAACUCAGGAGCCCUCCACCAAAUUUUAGAUUCCUUUUCAAUUGAACUAGGAUAGGCUUAUAGAUAUACAUACUCCAACUUAUAGAUAGACUAUCCAUUUGGAUUAAAAAUUUGUUGUUUUUUACCUCCGGUAAUAUGCCAUUACAUCAUUUAUGAGAUUUGUGUUAUCAAGAUUUUGUAUAGCUCAAUUUGUUGUAUUGUUUAUAGUGAUGGAACUAUUGAGAGUGUAUUGUGGUUUCUUCAAUGAAAUUGGUAGGUUUAAGAAUAUUUGCAAAAUUGAGAAUAUUGUUUAAUGGUGGGAAACAUAAUUUUUUGUUGGCUAGAAGCAUAGGCAACCACAAAAUUGAGAAUAUUGUUUAAAGGGUGAUUAGAGAUGAUAACCCAAAAUAUGGUAGGUGGAUGGUAUGUUGAUACAAUAGUUUCAGAAUUAAUCCCUUUUAAAUUUGAUGGUUUUUCUACACAACGAUGAUGAACUAUUUAGUACAUUGAUACAAUUCUUUAUUAUGUUCAAAAUCCUAACUUUCUUGAUGUGUGGCUCUAUCAACCUUUCAUAUGAAAGCCAGGAAACUUUGAAAUUUUAAAUUAAUAAUAUAGAUCAUGUAGUCCAAACAAGAUGUUCAAAUUUAUGAUUUAUGUCUCUUCCCAUUCCUCUCACACUCAUUUUAGAUAAAAUUUUCUUGGGGAAUGAUCUUAAUCUGUAUAGCAGAUUGCUUGCAGCCUUGCAAUGUUGUUGACUACAAGUAUUCUCUACAUGGGCUGCCAGUGGAUUCUGAUGAGUACCUUCAGGUAUUAUAUGAGGUUUCUUUUAAACCUUCUCUCUUUUUGUGUCAUUGCAAUUUUUUUUAAUAAUGAUUUCUGUUUGGUUACUAAGAAAGUGUAGUAAUAGAAUACAUAUAGUUUUAGGUUUUUAUUUAGUUUGGUUGGGAUUUGGGCAUCUUCUUUAUAUAGCUGUUUGGGCUUUGUUUUUUUCUCCCCCCCCCCCCCAAAAAAAAAGAAGAAUUCUAUUUGGUUGCUGAAGGAAAUCAAGUUCAAAUUAGAAUCUCAAAUAAAUUACAUCGUCAGUGAAAGAAAGCAAAAAUAUUUAAAUUUUUACAACAUUAUUAGAUUGCAUGCAUGGGAUCUCUUAUGGUCAUUCUCUCAAAAUUUUACACUGAACUACUAACAUAUGUGGUGACUCUUGACAACAUCAUAUGCAUUGAGAAUUGACUUAAAAGGGUGUUGAUGAUUUUGCUUUAAAUUACUGGGACUAUUUUUCUAAUUGAAGGGGUUGUCGAUAUUUCCUAGAGGUAUGAAAGGUUUGAUUUAGCAUCAACAAAAAGUAGAUAACUCAAUUCAAUUAUGAUCCUGCUUUCAUGGAGGAAAUGAGGACAAGAAGACAAACAUCUCAUGAGUUUCACAUACACAGUUGCAGAACCAGUUCAUAAACCAUAGAAAUAUGGACUAUGUAAAUUGACAAAUGUCUAUGUACAAUGAUAGAUUUGCUUAUUCAACUUGUGGUGGUGUUCAUAAAGUAACAUUCAACUAGCAUUAAUAACACCUACUCUUCUAUGUUUAUGAAA